rnacentral:rRNA from 1 species
GACGAACGCUGGCGGCGUGCUUAACACAUGCCAGUCGAACGGAAAGGCCCUGCUUUUGUGGGGUGCUCGAGUGGCGAACGGGUGAGUAACACGUGAGUAACCUGCCCUUGACUUUGGGAUAACUUCAGGAAACUGGGGCUAAUACCGGAUAGGAGCUCCUGCUGCAUGGUGGGGGUUGGAAAGUUUCGGCGGUUGGGGAUGGACUCGCGGCUUAUCAGCUUGCUGGUGGGGUAGUGGCUUACCCAGGCUGUGACGGGUAGCCGGCAUGAGAGGGUGACCGGCCACAUUGGGACUGAGAUACGGGCCAGACUCCUACGGGAGGCAGCAGUGGGGAAUAUUGCACAAUGGGCGGAAGCCUGAUGCAGCAACGCCGCGUGCGGGAUGACCGCCUUCGGGUUGUAAACCGCUUUCGCCUGUGACGAAGCGUGAGUGACGGUAAUGGGUAAAGAAGCACCGGCUAACUACGUG